UGACCCGAGAUUGCGCUACUGCACUCCAGCCUGGGCGACAGAGCGAGGUUCCGUCUCGAAAAAAAAAACAACGAAAAGGGGACUCACUUCGGAGAAGCUGCCCUCUCUGCAAACUUAUUUGAAGAUGUGGUCUUGCUAUGUUGCCCGGGCUGAGUGCAGUGACUAUUCACAGGCCGGAUCUAGUGCACUGCAGUCUUGAACUCCUGGCUUACAGUCCUGCUGGUUCUGAGAGGCAGGGGAAGAAACGGCCACCAUGCUCUGCAGCUAGGUCUCAGCAUGAGGACCAAGAACCCUGGUGUUCCUCCACUCAUCGGAGCCGUAUCAUUUUGGUGCAUUGGCCAGGAAAGGAAAUUCAAUCAUGAGACUGAAAAUGGCCCAAGACUCUGGAUAUGGUGGCGACUCAACUGAAAUGGUAAAAUAAAUGACAUUAACAUUUAAAAAGGAGAACUCAGAUGAAAGCAUACACAGAUGUGCAUGCAUACACAUAACCAAACACACACACACACACACACACACACACACACACACACACCCCAAACCAAACCAAAAAGGUUGACCCUCAAUCUAACCUGGCUGUAAUAAGGCAGCCAAAUAUGUAUUUGUUGGUGCCUAUUAUUACGUUUCUCGUAUAAUUACUUAACACAAAAUUUAAGUUACAACCUCUUUCUCCUUUGAAACCAGGUGGGAAACAUAUAACUUGCAAAUAUCAAGAAUUACAUAAUGUAAUUUAAUCAAAUAUGGAAUUUAUAAUAUAGCAAAAAUGGUACUAAAUACUUCAGAAACUUUCUAAGAGGCAGAUCAUAGUAUAAUACCUUUACAAAUAUAUCCAUUCAAUUGAGUAAUAUGCAGUAAUUGAAAAUGACAGCUACAUCAUCAGUAAGAGACUAGUUAUUAAUAGAAUAAGGGAUAACAGAAUAUUGAUAACUGAUAGGUAGGUCUAGUUUAAGGACUAGUGGCAGGACACAUUAAGUGAAAAAAAAAGCAGGUGUAUAAAAAAAUGUAGAGCAAGAUCCUAGCUGUGUAAAGAUAUGCUAUUUGUGUUACAGACAGACACAGACACACACACACACACACACACACACAAAAUCUAAGGGGAGAAGGUCCUGGUCAUGACUGAGGGGAGAGGGACACUUAAUAUUUGCUUCCUUGUACUCCUUGAAUUUACAAAUUACUUUUUUUACUUUUAUUCAAAUACAAAAUCACAGUUUACCUAAGAAAAUGUUUAGGAGUAAUGUUAAAUGAAAAAAGAGUAUCAUAACAAGCAUGAAAACACAUCAGAAGUGGAAAAAGAUUACCAAAAUGCUAAUAAUGAUAUUAUAAGUUUUCUGGUUUCUAAUUUUCAGUAAAUUUGCUAUAUUACUUUUGUUGCUAUUUAGUACUAGUAAGUAGUUAUAUUCCACUCCAGUAGGUGUAGCAAAAUAAAAAGUAAUAAAAAAGAAAAAUAGAAAAUAGUUAUAUUACUUUUAUGAAAGAAAAAAAUUUAUAAACCAACUUUCUCAAGCUAGGAUUUGUUAUUCCCCUCCCCAGAAGAAAAUGAGAAUGUGGAUGGACUAUACAAGUAGGUGUGUAUAUACACAAAAAAGAGAUGAGAUGAUACCAGAAGUUGAGUUCAACUUCUAUGCAAUCAGUAUCAGUCUAUGACAGAUUGUACAUACAACUGAAAAGUACUAAAGUUAUAAUUAACAAACUUAAAGUGACAAGGCUGAAUAGUGAUCAUGAAUAAAUUGCUACUAUAAAAGCACUUUUUUUUUUUUUGAGAUGGAGUUUCGCUUUUGUUGCCCAGGCUGGAGUGCAAUGG
rnacentral:lncRNA from 1 species